UCACCACUUAAACACAGGCACCUGCGUGUCAUAAUGGAUAAACUCUAGGCCUAAUCUAUCAAAGUAAGAUUUAUGUUUAAUUUUAUAUUAGCCGAGUUACUGCUGCUUUUAUCUACCCUUUAAUUGGAUAUUUUUUCAACGCAACGCGCCUGACGGCCCGCCGGGGAGACUCAUCGUGAAGGCGAAAGUCCUAAGAGUGUGUUAAAUGGCGCGCGAGCAGACUGGCGGGAGACUCGUGAAGACGAAAGCUGUACGAAUACUUUAAAUAGGAGCGACGCUGGCAGAGCAGCCGGGACCCUCGGGAGACAGGCGGCCAUAAAGAAGACCGUUUUAAACAUUUUCAGAUGGUUAUACUACCUACUUUUCCCUACUAUGGAAGUCAGUGGUACCCCAAAACAGCCUGGUUACAAACUUUCUUCAAAAUAUCUUACUUUGUGUUCGGGCAGAAAAAAGAAAUUCAUACAGGUUUGGAACUACUUGAGGGUGAGUAAAUGAUGACAGAAUUUUCAUUUUUGAGUGAACUAUCCCUUUAAUGCUCUUGUAAAUGUUUAGUAAUAUUUUAAAAUAAAUGCCUUUUCUCUGUUUUUUUCUUUACUGUUUUUAGGAAUGAAGCUGAGUAGUCUG